rnacentral:rRNA from 1 species
GAUGAACGCUGGCGGCGUGCCUAAUACAUGCAAGUCGAGCGAACAGAUGAGGAGCUUGCUCCACUGACGUUAGCGGCGGACGGGUGAGUAACACGUGGAUAACCUACCUAUAAGACUGGGAUAACUUCGGGAAACCGGAGCUAAUACCGGAUAAUAUAUUGAACCGCAUGGUUCAAUAGUGAAAGACGGUUUUGCUGUCACUUAUAGAUGGAUCCGCGCCGCAUUAGCUAGUUGGUAAGGUAACGGCUUACCAAGGCAACGAUGCGUAGCCGACCUGAGAGGGUGAUCGGCCCCACUGGAACUGAGACACGGUCCAGACUCCUACGGGAGGCAGCAGUAGGGAAUCUUCCGCAAUGGGCGAAAGCCUGACGGAGCAACGCCGCGUGAUUGAUGAAGGUCUUCGGAUCGUAAAACUCUGUUAUUAGGGAAGAACAAAUGUGUAAGUAACUAUGCACGUCUUGACGGUACCUAAUCAGAAAGCCACGGCUAACUACGUG